rnacentral:tRNA from 1 species
GGGCCAUAGCUCAGUGGUAAAGCAUCUGCCUUGCAUGCAGAAGGCCCCAGGUUCAAUUCCUGCCAUCUCCA